GCCCCGGUGGUGAAAUGGUAGACGCGCCGGACUCAAAAUCCGGUUCCGCAAGGAGUGUCGGUUCGAGUCCGACCCGGGGCACCA
rnacentral:tRNA from 1 species